rnacentral:rRNA from 1 species
UAGGGGUAAAAUCCGUUCAUAUCGGUAAGAACACCAAAGGCGAAGGCAGCUUGCUAGAACAAACCUGACACUCAUGGACGAAAGCGUGGGGAGAAAAAAGGAUUCAAAUCAAGGGAAGGUUCGUGGAGAAAAGGCAUCCCGUAUCAACGGGAUUUAUGAUCCACAGAACUUCGGAUCCCUUCCUAGUCUUAUGGAAGGAAAACUUGGCUAUAUGCUGGAAUAUCUGAGAAUUCACACCUACCGAAAGUUGUAGCGGCGACCUUCAGGUCGCCAUCGUGGCGGUCUAAAGACCGCCGCUACGCCAACGAGUAAAAAUGGUCGUGAUGCAGACAACCAGCAGGGAAGAAUUAGAAAGGAGUUAGAUAUGAAGUAUGAGGCGUGCGUGGUUAAUAAAGAAAACGAUUAUGUUUCCCCAACACGGAUUCCGGUUUCCGGGACUGUCGACGGAGAAGCAAUCAAGAAUUUCAAAGCACUGCGCCGUGCUCAUGGAGAUAGCUCGCUUCUCACCCUCAAGUUGAUGAAAAUCGACGACAAGGGUGCGGAAAGCGAAAUUGAAGUGACCUAACAAUUUGAUUCCCCUCAGAGACUAUACGCCGAGGCACAUUAGGAAACGUGACGCCAGCUUGCCUGCAAGCUGGCCCACUAUUUUCUCAAUGUGCAUGAUAUAGUCCGACCUGCAUGGCGACAUGCAGAGUCCGGCAGAAAUGCCCGGACCACGCAGCAAAGAAUUAGAAAUUAGAUGAAUUAGGUAAAUUAGAAAUUCUUUGUUGCGAAGUAACAAAGUGAGAUACCCUUGUAUUCCACGCCCUAAACGAUGAGCGCUAGAUAUUGGAAGUAUCGACCCUUUCAGUGUCGUUUUCAUAAGGGAAACCGUUAAGCGCUCCGCCUGGGAAGUACGGCCGCAAGGCUAAAACUCAAAGGAAUAGACGGGGACCCGCACAAGCGGUGGAUCAUGUGGUUCAAUUCGACGGUAAGCGAGGAACCUUACCAGGGCUUGACAUGCUUCUGCAAGCGCACGGAAACGUGUGACCUUCGAGGGUGAAGCACAGGUGCUGCAUGGCUGUCGUCAGCUCGUGCCGUGAACGCAAAACCAGAAGACAGAAAACAGAAAACGGAAGACAGAACGGUCAAUAUGUCCGUCAUCUGUCCUCCGUCAUCCGUCUUCCGGUAAACAUCGCGGCCUCCCGCAGUAAUGCGGGAUAGGAAUCUGGCUCAUAUCGGUGGAACCUUGACCAGAGGACGGAAGACAGAAGACGGAAAACAGAAUUGUUUGCUAUAAUCAAUGUAGUAAUCUUAAUUUGAUAGUCCGUCAUCUGUUCUCCGUCUUCCGGCAAGCAAUACCGAGGGAAGUCCUCUUUCAGAGGACGGAAGACAGAAAACAGAAGACAGAGUAUGAUCAAAGAUGUUACUGAUCUCCAUGUAUAUCAGCGUUCAAUGGCACUCAUUUUGCCCAUGAAAAGGCUGGUGAGUUUAUUGCCAAAGAACGAAUAUACAAUGCGAGACCAAUGUACAAAAACAAUGUAUCGGAUCCCGGCCACCAUUGCCGAAGGUUGGGGGAAAAAACAUUCCGAAAAAGAAUUUAAACGCUUUCUCGAGAUGGCGUUGGGUUCUAGCGACGAGAUCAUUACUCAUGUCAGGAUGGUUAACAUUUGUAAGUUUUCACGUGUCAAACCAGAAACAUGUGAUGCUCUCAUUCGAGAGUAUAAAAUUGUUUCCAAAGAACUUACGAAUUUAAUCAAGAAGUGGAAAAAUUUCCAAUAAUCCGUAUUCUGUUCUCCGUCAUCCGUCUUCUGGAAUGACCCUGUAACGACUGCGGUCCGAUGAAUAUCGGACCAAGAUAGAAGGUACCUGAUAAUCAGGAUUAAUAAACUUCUAUCAUACGCCAGCCCCAUAUUCAGAAGACAGAAAACAAAAGACUGAAGACAGAAAAUUAGGAUAUUUGCCUAUCACAAGGCUUGUAUCCGUUCUCUGUCCUCCGUCAUCCGUCUUCCGUAUGUGGGUGGAGGUAUAGUCUACAUUUGCAUAAAGCAAAUUCGGAGGCGUUCCCUUAAGUGGGGUAACGAGCGCAACCCUUACUGUAUGUUAUCGUGUCAUACGGAACUGCUCCGGUAUACGGAGAGGAAGGUGGGGAUGACGUCAAGUCAGCAUGGCCCUUAUGCCCUGGGCUACACACGUGAUACAAUGGUCGGUACAAUGGGACGCCAAGCCGCAAGGCGGAGCCAAUCCCAUCAAAACCGAUCUCAGUUCGGAUUGGGGGCUGCAACUCGCCCCCAUGAAGCUGGAAUCGCUAGUAAACGCGCAUCAGCCACGGCGCGUUGAAUACGUUCUCGGGUCUUGUAC